UUUUUUUUUUUUUGAAAAAUCUUUUGCAACAAAGGUAAUGUUGCAGAAAAUAUUUGCAACAAAGGAUGCGUUGUAGAAAUCGUUGUUCACCGCUUUUUACCAUAUUUUUUGCAACAAAGCUUGUGUUACAGAAAACCUUUUGCAACAUCAUACAUAUUACAGUGAGCAUUCUAGUGGUAAUUGUGUGCAGCUUGCCGAAGAAGCACACUGGUGCAGCUUGCUGAAGAAGCACACUGGAGAAGCUCGCCCGAGAAGCUAGUCAGUGUGCUUGCCGAUGCCAAGCGUUAGUGGCAGCGAUCGGGGCAACAUGAGGACACCAGAGGUCGGUCUCUUUGGUCGCACGCCUUACAACAAGGUGCAGCUCGCUAGAGAAGCUUGUCGGCGUGCUAGUCGUCGGCCAGAGCCGGUGGCGGCAGUCGGAGCAGCACGGAAAGGCAGCGGCUCGACGGGAGCUCGCGGUAGUCAGAACAGCGCGGGAAGGAGGCGGACUCGACGGAAGCUUGGGAGGAGCACAAGAAGUGACUUAUCUCAAAGAUCAGAUCCUGCAACAGUCGUUGCUGCGAUGGGAGAUUGCAACAAUGGGCUAGUUGCAAAAACUAGUGUUAGUGGCCAUGGGGUACGUGGCGUGCAGAGAAGGCGAUGAACACGAGCCAGCGAUCCACCGGGUGAGUUAUAGCGUUUUCCUUAAUUUUUGAGGGACUCAAAAUAAAUUUUUUUAGACAAACUCACAUUUGUUUUUUUUUUAGUCUACUCACAUUUGUUAUUUGCACGCCAAACUCGGCGCAUGGGCUGCUGUUGCUGGGCUGGGCUGGUGCCCUGGGGUUUUCAUAUAUAUUUUUCGGUUUCUCGUGUGACUCUAGGGUUUAAACGGGAAGGAUUCUCGAAGAAAAUUAUAGAUUACUAAUGAUCUCAUCGAGCGGACACCGUGUUGGAUUCCUGAGUUCCCACCGAGAGCAAACAAAUCAAUCGAUCGGCGUUCCAAACAUGUCAUGGCGUCACCGCCGUUCAACAUCGGCUUGCUGCCCGACCACCUCCUGCUGGAAAUCCUCGAACGCCUCGACUUGCCUGAGGCGCUCCGGGCCGGGGCAGUCUCGACGCGGUGGCGGCACCUCCCCCACCAGCUCUCGCGCCUGCAUCUGCACAUCGGCCACUUCCAUGGCGCCACACCGGUCGAGAUGAUGGACACGUUCACCGGCGCAGCACGGAGGUUGCUGGCGGUGUGUCCUCCUCCGGCCGCAGCGUGCAAGGGUAGCCGUAACAUCAAGACCCUCGUCCUCAGCUUCUACAUAUCGGACCCUCCCCAACUAAGCUCCAUCGGCCGCACCGUGAAGGACGUCGUCAGCGGUGGCGAGACCGAAUACCUCAAGUUUCACAUAUUCCCGCCGCCCACCAGCAGCAACACCUCACGCAAUCUCAGGAAAAUGUUGUACGAAUCUUGGCAGCUCGACAACCCUCCGGUGCACUUCGGCUACGUUCCCAAGCUUCGCCAAGUGAGCCUCGCUUCUGGCGCGAGGGCUUGGCAAGCGCCAUUUGUGCUGACCGAGUGCUUCUCAAAGAUUGCCACAAACCUUUUGGAACUGUAUCUGAAUUUUGGUUGCGAAGCUGGUACGUUUAUUUCUCCAUGCCACAUGAAUUCCACUGCUGCUCUGCAUCUACAUAUUAUAUUUCUUCUUCACUACUAACUUUAGCUGUCUAUAGUGUUCUUGCUUUUGUUGCAGAUUUGGGUUCAACCAGAACAUCCCAAGCACCUCACCACAAUAUUCAGAAACCUCACCCAUGCAUAUCUUUACUGUAUCUUUCCUGACUGUGAUCUGAGCUGGACCAUGUUUAUCGUCGAAGCUGCACCAGCCCUGCUGAAAUUUACAGUAAACUUCACUUCAAACGUGGAUACUUGUAUUGAGCUGGUUACAAAUUCCCAAUAAAUGCAAUUGCAAUUGUUGCUAAGUUGUUCUAAUGUAAUAUUUGUUUAUCUUUUGUGUCCAUGCAUGAAGUUAUCUCGAAAUCGACAUUCAUGUGUCAAAACAUCCGACAAUAUUGCCAAGAAGACCAACAUGUUAUGGGAACCAUCCAAAGGAGUGGAAGCACUUGAACCUAAAGUUAUUGGUGAUGAAAUGGUUCGAGGAGGAAGACAAGGUGGCAAACUAUCUAUUGCUUUUCAUGGAAUGUGCUUUGGGCCUAAAGAGAAUUGAGUUGCGUGGUAAAUCCCCAUGCGCCAAUUGCAAUGCCAUUGACCUUGAGUCCGGAAUAUCCCAUGUGGAUGAAGCUAGCAGGUAUCGAAUUAAGGAGCGACUCACACAUGGAUCCUCCUUGCCCAUGGAAAUAAUAAUAUGGUGAUUGUUAAAGAAUGAUAAUAAUCUCCUUAAAAGAAGUACCCCACUAUUGGUGCUAGUGCUACGGUUGCGCCCAAUCAGUCAUAACCUUUGAUUAUUUUUUAGAUAUUUGUGUUCAAACAAUUAAUUAUUAACAUGGGUUUUCAUUACAACAUGAUAUAUUUGAGAACUGAUUUUUCUAAUUGGCUACGGUAUUAUGAUCUGCUCGCGUCUUUUCUGAAUUUUAUUACUAUGGGAAACCUUGAAAUAGAAAUGAGAAAAUUUAACAUUUCAUCCACCACUUAUGCAACAAGCUCAAUACUAGCCACAUUAUGAUCCUCAAUUUCAAAACCAGACAAUUUGCACCCUGAACUUUCAAAACCUGCCACAUUUAGUCCCUAUCAUGACUCGAAGCAGCUUCGUACAUGGCAUGAUGUGGUUUUUGAAUUUAGUCAACAUGUGGCAAUUCAAGCUAGUUCAUGUUUUACCCCACCACAUCAUUUUCUUCUUCCUCAUCAUUCUGACUCAUUACAGGGCAUUUCAUCAAAUAUCUUUAAUUCCUGGACUAUCACUCCGCCCUUCGCACUUGCAUAUCGUGUCCACCUUCCCUCCCUCCUCCAUAUAUGUGCAAGCGCCAACCCUCUUCUCCUUCUCCCACACCACACCACGCCGCCACAGCCUGACCUAGCUCGCGUCUCGCCUCCAUCUUGUGUGCACUGCUAACACACAAGACCAGCCGCAGCGGUAGAUUCUCGGAGGAGGGAGCCCCCGGAGCCCGCGCCCACACGCCGCUCUUUACUCCCAGGUGCAAGGGAUCAUGGUAGAACUUUCCAAUUAGGGAUAUGGAAGUAAUGAGUCACACCCCUCAGGAGCAAGUAGGUAGGCCGCAGGGAAGGUGGUUGGGCUGCAGAAAAAGAAGUUGAUAGAACUGCAAUCAAACUUAACAUAAAAAGAAGAGAGUGCGAUAAUACAACAAUCAUGAUUCUUGCUAGGUAGGAUUGUGGUAUUGUCCUUGUACCUAUCAUCAAGAUUUGCUUCCUCCAUCAUCUCAGCUUGAAGAAGUAUCUCCUAUAAUAUUCCCAUCCUCUCAGCCUGUAGUAGGAUUAUCUUUGUAUUUUGUACGCAGCUCACAUGUCAAAUAGGGAGUAUCUCUUAAAAAAUCACACUUUUUAUGGAAUAUAUCUAUAUACAUGUGAAUUAUUUUCAGUUUCUUUGAAACUUUUAAGUAUGAUUUUUUUACCAUUUAAAUAAUUUUAGGCUCAUUGGAGCCUAAGCUCCAAACCGCCUCACACCAAAGUGCAUUGUUACUGUGCUAAAUCUGGAGCAAAAUAGAAACUCAUGGAAGAACCCAAUGAAAAGUGACACAAUUCAUUAUUUACAUCGCAGAAAGUGCAAGUUAACAUUCCAUUUUUGACCAAGUUUUAGCGAUCCAAUGAGCUCCAAGAUUGUUCCUGAGGUAGGCACUUUUAACCCUGCUGGCGGUGUUUAAUCAAUGAAGCUGAUGUUUCUAAAGAAAGACCUAGUAAAUCAUCCCACAUCACAACAUUACGUACCACUUCUUCAAUGGAAUUUUAAGACAAAGGGAAACUCUCAGUGCAAUAAAUAACUUCCUUGCACUCAUAUUUGCUGUCAUUACAUAGUGGCAAUAUUCUCAAUCCUCGUACAAGAUGUGCUUCUUUUUAAAACUAAUUAUAAGGGGAUGUUGGAAACAAAGCAAAAAUUUGAAUGUACAGUUGGUCAGAAUAUGACUUUAAUUCGCAAGAUCCACACUGGGAUGUAUCUCUUCUCAGCAUCCCAUAGUGGAUUAGAUGUGCAUUUGAGAGAGCCCUAUAUAUGCCUCUAUGGGAACACGAAAAAUGUAACAAAAAAAUUGUCAGAAAUUACUGCCAUGCAAAAUGUCAAAUUCUAUGUAUAUUGACACAUAAUUAACCAGCUACAUUUUAUCAUGGUAAUAAAUCCGAGUGAAGUUGCACUUGAGAUUAUGGUCUAAUGUAUCUGUUGUGCCAUAUCUGCAAUGCACACACGAGCCUAGCUGCAACACUAGGCAAAGACUGAUGGUAGUCGAGGGAGAAGGACAUGAAGUGCUGCCCAAACUCGGCGAACCACAGGGCAGUGUGUUUUUCUCUUGUAUGGCGAGCCUAUGCCAAAAUGGAGCCAUUUGCUCUCGCCACGGCUGACAACGUCCUCAAUGGCGCGGCCGAUGGAGCUCAAGUGGGGGGAGGGUGACAGGUAGAAGAGGAGGCUGAGGGACUUGACAGCAUGACUGUUGUUGCAAUCGCACUCGCGCUCCCUCAGCAAACUCCGCACUGCACCUGUGAACGCAUCCAUGCGCUCGCGCAUCCUGGAGCGGCGAAAAUGGCUGGCGUUGAGGUACAGGCGCGAGACCUGUGUUUUGAAUUUCGGCCGAAAAAACGGAUUUUGGCCAUCUCGGCCUGGGGCGAAAUCUAUCUUUGGCCGAAAUUGGUCAAAUUUGACAAUUUUUGGUCAAAAUUUAGUCAAAUUCCAGUUUAAAUUUGCUCAAAUUUUGGUCGAAAUUUUUGAAAAUGCCUGAAAUUCGGCCAUCUCUACCUGGGGCAAGAAAAAUCUCAAACCGAAAAUCAUAACACAGCGCGAGACCCGGUGGGGGAGGUGCCCCCACUGCGUGGAGACUGCGUCGGCGCGGACCGCCUCACGCAGGUCGAGCCGCUCGAGGAUUUCGAGUAGGAGGUCAUCGGUGAGCGUGCUGAUUUUGUCCUCAUCUCGGCAGGCCUGGAGCUUGAGCGGCGGCGACUCCAUUGCCGAGAUUCGGAGGCGGAUUUGUUGGUUGAAAUCCUAGCUAGAACCAAUCGCUGAGAUGCAUCCCAGGCGGCGGCACGUUGCUCCGAGGACGCCUCCCUCCGACGCUCCGCUCUCCACACCUCUCGCAUGUGGCCGUCGAUCUGGAUCCGCCGUGCGGGCAGCUCGACGGAUCCGGCUGCUCCUGCCUCCUCCUCAAUGCCCUCUGGCGUGCUGCUGCUAGUCGAUGCGACGCAUGGUUAGCUUUGAUUUGGUGGCAAAUUGGAUGGUGGAUGCAUUGGAUUGGAAGUGGAUUGGAGCUCUCGACAGUGGGGAUUGGAUGAGAGAGGCGCGAGCACGGAAGGAGACAGCGGAGGAAACCUCGUGCGAUGCUGUGAUGAGUCGUGCUAGACAAGGGGACUAUACUGAACCGUAAUAAAAGAGGCAAUAUCACCAUAACUCACAGAACUUCUUUUGGAUGUUCAGUUUGAUGCUAAAACUUUGAAAGACGAAUUUAUGAUCACUCAACUUGCAUUCUCGUGUAAAUACGGUCAAAACCUGUGUAUGCAAGCGUAUCCUCUGUUUGCGUGGCGUGCUACACGUGCAUGGCUCCACGGUCAGCGACCAUUUGAUGACGGAGGCGCUAGGUGUCAGCUAGCGCGUGACGGCAGGCAACACGUGUUGGCUAGCGUGUCUGCUGCCAUGAACCAGAUGGUCUUUUCUGGCAAUUUGACUCAUAGGUAGUCUUUUCUGUCAAGUGCACUGGGGAGGUGGUCCUUUUGGACAAAAAAUCCAAGGUGUGACGUGCGUGAUGUCCUCUUUGUAGGAACACCCUCAGCUUUUUUAUAAUUAUGUCUUUAUAAAUUAUUCGCACAUAAUGAGUAUUAGUAAUUGCUUCUGUUGGCCCCACUUGUCAGGCGGCCUACUCUUUCUACCUGUGUGGGACCCACCUGCCAGUGGACGCGAGAAAGAUUCGACGAUUUAAAAUUAAAGGGAUUCAAACCAGAAACCUAUUCACUCCCGUCCCGCAUUCUGACCACCACGAUGCAUGGACGUCCUUGAUGUUAUAGUAGUAGUCCUUCGAUGCACGCGCUAUUAUAUGGGCUAACCCGAUAAAUACAUUAUUUUUUUGGUCGGGACAACCACAUAUUCAACCAUAUGUAAAGACGACGAUGAUGUUAGCAUUAAGCUUGCUCUAAUAUCGAGUUAUGUAAACGAACUUAAAGGGUGCAUGAAUUCUUUCCAUUUCGCUCAAUUUUUUUUGGUUGGUUUGAAUUCCUAUUUCAAAGGGGACUUGGGUCACUUCAAAUUAAAAUUCAAUUUUGUACUGCUGCGGUAGGCCAGUUUUGUUCACACCUCUAGGUCUAGAGUUCAAAUCAUGAGGCACAAACAUUUUCAUUAUUUUUGUAUCGAAUAUGUUUUUUUUAGCAAAAAUAUAACCUAAACAAGAUUUGAACCCGGGCCAAUUGCUAGUUAAUAAUGGACUAACCAUCAAGAUAGAAAUGAUAUAUUCAUUAUGCGCUGUAUUUUCUUUUAUCUAGAUUUUUAAAUUUAAAAUUAUUUGAAUUUAACCUAUUUUUUGUUAUUUAUCCAAACAAAAUUUUUAUCAUUCGAGGGUGAGCAGAAUUUUUUCCAUUUCAAAUUACGUACUUGUUCAUGUGUCUAAGGAGAAACACAUAAUUUUAUAUGUUGGCAACUCGACUAGCCGAGGGUGAGCGAAUUUUUUUCGUGCAAAUUUAUUCAAACCAAUUUUGAAUUCAUCCUUUUUGGCAUUAAAAUAUAUAUAACUGGAAUUAGAAAGAAAGAAAAUAAGCUUAUGCGCGUUUCAGCGGUCAGUACUGCGCAUCCGCUAGGUGAUGCCAGCUUGCGAGUUCUAGUCUCUCCCUAGUUCAUUUUUUAUGUGUAGAUAUCAACUAAAAUUGCAAAAUUUAACGCUGGAGACCAUCAGAAUCGUCCUGGAAUAUCAGCUAAACCAUGCUUUCACUUGUAAAACAAAAGAAGAUAUAUCUGUUCUUUUUGCGAGAAAAUGAUAUAUUUGUUCGUACACGUGGAAAUCUGCUUGUUGCAGUGCAUGGGACAGGUCAUGCGCGUACAUGACGUCUUGAGUUCGAGCCCCCAAGCGGCUUUUUAUUUUUCAUUUCUAAAUUCAUCUACCACGGUGUCAAUCGGGACCCACACGUGCUGAUGAGGGGCUUCUGCGCAAUUAAAAAUAGAGUGGGGAUGUUUCUCAAAAAGAAAAACACAUGCACGUCCCUACAUUCAUGUUGGCAUGCCACGUAAGUGCAUGAUACGUUCGGAUACGGAUGAAGUGGCCGUAUUUGCACAAAAACGCAAGUUCAGUGACCAUAAAUUCGUAUUUUUAAAGUUUUAGCACCAAACUGAACAUUCAGAGCAAAUUAUAUGACUCCUGAUAAUAUCACCUCUAAAAAAACAUAUUCACUCCCGGAUGGUCGUAAUUUGUAUAGGAUUAUUUCGCAUGAAAAUACAAAUAUAUAUUAUGACCAAGAUAAAUUUGUUACUAUUUUACAAACACUUAUUAAAUCAAAAUGAUAACAAAUUUAAUCUAUUGAUUUAUCCUAUAACAAUCAAACAACAAACUAGGUUCCUUUCAUCAAAUCCAAUAACUAUGAAUUUUUUAGACUAAAUUUAAUCUUUUUGUAUGCGUGUCUCAUUGCUAGACCUAGAGCAGAGUGUAAUCUUUUAUAGGAAGAAGGCGCACGCCCGACUUUAAUUAAGAAGCCCACAAGUCUGCGAGUACAACACUGGGUCUGGUACAAGUCCUCAUAGGUGAACCAACCUUAGUUAUAUGGUUAGGUUUCUGUGGCGUAAUUAGCCCAUAUUGAUUCAAGUUCUAGACUUAACAUAGGUGCUCGCAUAUUUUCUGAUUUUUGACAUGUGCAUCGACUAGUGGUGAAUUUUACAAGCAUGUGGGUUGCUUGUGUGUGUUGUGUUAUAGGGAUGAGUGUGUACAUAUUGUAAACAUAUGCAUCUCUAGUGUGUUUCUAAGAGAAGUCCUGGAAUGACAAGAAGCUCAAAAAUGAAAAUAAAACAAAGAAAUGAUAAAGCUGAGCCGACUUAGAAGUGCAUCCCUCAGCUCUGCUCGAACAACUCCACUAGCCAUCUCAUUAGCGGAAGCGAUGGGGUGCUUUUACGAAGCUUCUGUCAUCGGUUUGGGAAGCUUCCACCAGGUUUUGGGAUUCUUCCGAACAGUUUUUGAUUUUUUUUAUUUUUGUUUCUCUAUCUGGUUUUCCAGUGUUCUCACUUUUUUUCUCUCCUUUUCUCCUUCUUUUUAUUUUUUCUUACUCGUUUUAAAUUAAUGAAAAUAUGAAUUCAUGAUCUUACUAUAAAAUUAAAGAACUUAUUUUCAUAUUCAACUUCACAAAUAAUGUAAGAUAUUUUGAACUUUUUCAAAUUCAUGAAUAUUUUUUCAAUUCAACGUUUUUUUCAAAUCCCUGAACAUUUUUCCAAAUUGAGGAACAUCUUUUAAUUUAUGCACAUUACUAAAAUUCAUGAACAUUUUUAAAAUUCCCGAACAUAUUUUCAAAUUCGUUGGCAUUUUCCAAAUACGCGUAACCAUUUUUUGAAUUCAACGUUUUAAUCUAAUUUGUGCAAACUUUUAAUUCACUAACAUUUUUCAAUUCCAUGAACUUUUUUUGAAAAUAUGAUUUUCUUUUCAAUUCAUGAACAUGUUUUCAAAUUCUUGAUUUUGUUGUGCAUUCGGGAACCUUUUUGAACUAUGUAGAUAUUUUUUUGAAGUUUGUGAACAUUACUUUGAUUGGCAAACAAUUUUUCAAAUAAUGAACAUUUUUUCAUUAUUUAUUUUAACCAUACUUAGUGAGAAAAAUAAAAAAUAGGUGAAAAGGGAAAACCAAAAAACAUAGUGUGCUUGAAGCUAGCGAUGCCUGGUGUGCGCUAAUUGAUCGACACCCCAUCAUCCUAGCGAUGAGGUAUGUAGAUGAUACGUCCAUUUUGCAUCAUGUUUUCCUACUGUUAUUUAUAGUAUUUUUAAUCAUUAUAACACCUUGUGUAGCAAUUCUAAUGCAUUUUGUCUCUUAAUAUGCAAGGUUUACAUGAAGAGGGAGAUUGCCGGCAGCUAGAAUUCUGGACCAGGAAAAGCUACGUCAGAGAUACCUAUUCUGCAGAUCUCCAAAUGAGCUGAAGUUUUAUGAAGAUUCAUUUUGGGAUAAAUAAAAGUUAUUAGAGAAAAGAAGUACCAGAGGGGGGCCACCCAGGUGCCCACUAGGCCCCUGGGCGCGCCCUGGGGGGUAUUGGGGCUCCUAGCCAGCCUCCGGUGCCCAUCUUCUGGUAUAUAAGCCCAUUUGCCCUAAAAAAUAAGAAGAGGACUUUUGGGACGGAGCGCCGCCGUCUCGAGGCAGAAUUUGGGCAGGAGCACUUUUGCUCUCCGGCGGAGCGAUUCCGUCGGGGAUACUUCCCUCCGGGAGGGGGAAAUCAAAGCCAUCGUCAUCACCACCAACCCCUCUCAUCGUGGAAGGAUCAAUCUUCAUCAACAUCUUCACCAUCACCAUCUUAUCUCAAACCCUACUUCAUCUCUUGUGUUCAAUCUUUGUAUCAAAACCUCAGAUUGGUACCUGAGAGUGACUAGUAAUAUUGAUUACAUCUUGUAGUUGAUGCUGGUUGGUUUAUUUGGUGGAAGAUUAUAUGUUCAUAUCCAUUAUGCUAUUUAAUACCCCUCUGAUCUUGAGCAUUAAUAUGAUUUAUGAGUAGUUACUUUUUUCUUAGGGAUAUGGGAGAAGUCUUGUCAUAAGUAAUCAUGUGAAUUUGGUAUUCGUUCGAUAUUUUGAUGAUGGGUAUGUUUUGAUUCCCUUAGUAGUGCUAUGUGAACGUUGACUACAUGAAACUUCACCAUCUUUGGGCCUAAGGGUUGCUAGAGUGACAGAAGCUUAAACCCUAGUUUAUGCGCUAUUCCGUAAGGGGCCGAUUUGGAUCCAUAUGUUUAAUGCUAUGGUUAGAUUUUAUCUUAAUUCUUCUUUCGUAGUUGCAGAUGCUUGCGAGAGUGAUUAAUCAUAAGUGGGAGGCUUGUUCAAGUACGAACAUCACCCAAGCACCGGUCUACCCACAUAUCAAAUUAUGCAAGUAGCGAACGCAAAUCAAACAAACAUGAUGAAAGUGACUAGAUGAAAUUUCCAUGUGUCUGAUACGUCUCCAACGUAUCUAUAAUUUAUGAAGUAUUCAUGCUAUUAUAUUAUCCAUCUUAGAUGUUUUAUAUGCAUUUAUAUGCUAUUUUAUAUGAUUUUUGGGACUAACCUAUUAACCUAGAGCCCAGUGCCAGUUUCUGUUUUUUCCUUGUUUUUGAGUUUUAUAGAAAAGGAAUAUCAAACGGAGUCCAAUUGACGUGCCAAUUUUUGUUGAUUUUUUCUGGAACAAAAGAAGCCCCUGGAGCAAAAGAGUUGGGCCAAAAGAGUCCCGGGCUGUCCAUGAGGGUGGGGGGCGCGCCCACCCCCCCUAGGCAUGGGCCCCUACCUCGUGGACGACUCGGAGACCCCCCUGACAUGAAACCAACGCCAAAAAUUCCUAUAAAUACAGAAACCUCCAGAAAAUAACCUAGAUCGGAAGUUCCGCCGCCGCAAGCCUCGGUAGCCAUGAGAAAUCAAUCUAGGCCCUCUCUGACACCCUGCCGGAGGGGGAUAUCAUCACCGAAGGCCAUGGAGGAGGAUCCCGAAGGGGCCAUCAUCGCCAUGAAGGCCAAGGACCAGAGGGAGAACCUCUCCCCAUCUAGGGGGAGGCCAUGGAGGAGGAAGCAUAAGGGGGAGAACCUCUCCUCCUCUCUCUUGGUGGCGCCGGAGUGCCAUCGGGAGGGGAAUCAUUGCCGCGGUGAUCGUCUUCAUCAACAUCACCAUCAUCAUGACCAUCCUCAUAUAUUUUACGCGGUCCACUCUCCCGCACCCCGCUGUAAGCCCUACUUGAACAUAGUGCUUUAUGCCACAUAUUAUGAUCCAAUGAUGUGUUGCCAUCCUAUGAUGUUUUGAGUAGAUAUCCUUUGUCUUUGGGUUGAUUGAUGAUCUAGAUUGGUACGAGUUGUAUGUUCUAUUUUGGUGCUGUCCUAUGGUGCCCUCUGUGUUGCGCAAGCGUGAGGGAUUCCCGCUGUAGGGUGUUGCAAUACGUUCAUGAUUCAUUUAUAGUGGGUUGGUGAAUGACUGUAACACAAACCCGAGUAAGGGGGUUGUUGCGUAUGGGAAUAAAGAGGACUUGAUGCUUUAAUGCUAUGGUUGGGUUUUACCUUAAUGAUCUUUAGUAGUUGCGGAUGCUUGCUAGAGUUCCAAUCGUAAGUGCAUAUUAUCCAAGUAGAUAAAGUAUGUUAGCUUAUGCCUCUCCCUCAUAUGAAAUUGCAAUGACGACUACCGGUCUUGUUAACAAUUGCCUAGGACAUUUCCGCACACCGAUCCAUCAUUAUUCCACAUUCGCUAUUUAUAAUAUGUAGUAAUAUAUUCUAACUUUAUGAUGACAAUACCUACUUUUAUAUUUUAGCUCUCUGAUAUCAUGCAAAGUUAUGCUCUUCAUACCCACAACGUAGUUUUAUUUCUCGUUUCUAGUUGGAAGCAAACGUUCGGUGUACGUAGAGUCGUAUCAGUGGCAGAUAGGGCUUGAGAGAAUAUUGAUCCUGCCUUUAGCUCCUUGUGGGUUCGACACUUCAUACUUAUCACUUCCACCUUUGGAAAUUGCUACGAUGAUUCCCUGCACUUGGGGAUUAUCAAGCUCUUUUCUGGCACCGUUGCCGGGGAGCAAUAGCAUGGGGUUGAUAUUCUCGUGUGUGCUUGUUUGCUUUCUUCACUAAGUAGAUUUUGUUUUUCCUUUUUGUUUCUGUUUAGUUGUGGGUGAAUCAUACAAAAAAAAUUAAAAGAAUGAAAAUACAAAAAAAAAUUACUUGCCUCUCAUGCCUAAAAACGUUUUCAAAAAGAGAAGUGAUUGGAAAGUUAUGCAUUGGAGAAGUGAGGUUCGACCUUGAGCACUUGUGUUCAUGCUCAUGGAAACAAUGUAGAAUUUUUCAUGGAAGUUUCUCUGUAAAUAAUUAUCCCCUUGUGUAUAUCCAUUGUAUUAUAAAAAAAUAAUGUGCCAAGCUUUGGUUUUAGGAUGAUUAGAUUGCUUGUUUACUAUGUGCAGAACAAAAACAGAAACUUUGGCUGUAGCGCGUGAUUUUACAUUUUUUACCGAAAAGUCAAAUGGGUCUGAAACUUUUUGCACGUUACUUCUGUACAAAUUUUUCAAAAUUUCAAGUUUAUUUCAUAAUUUUUGGAGUUACAGAAGUUUACAAAACUUCCAGAUUACUACAGACUGUCCUGUUUUUGACAGAUUGUGUUUUUCGCGUGUUGUUUGCUUAUUUUGAUGAAUCUAUGGCUAUUAUCGGGGGGUAUGAACCAUAGAGAAGUUGGAAUACAGUAGGUUUAACAACAAUAUAAAUAAAUAAUGAGUUCAUUACAGCACCUUAAAGUGGUAGUUUGCUUUAUUACACUAACGGAUCUCACAAAGUUUUUGUUAAAGUUUUGUGUGGAUGAAGUGUUCGAAGAUCGAGGAGCUAUCAAUAUGAGAAGAAUAAAGAGAGG
rnacentral:lncRNA from 1 species